UUCUUUAAACCUAGCCCUAGAAAGACUUUCUUCUUCUUCCUUAGAAAAAAAAAUCCUAGGACACAAGACUAAAAACCCAUGGCUGCCAUCUUCAACAGAUAUACAACACAAAAACCCUAGAACCCAUCUUCUUCCUCAUAAGAUAACUAAGACAACAAAGAGACAAAAAACCCUAGCUGAACCCUAACCUACUGCCGCCGCCGCCCCUCGCUGGCAACCACCACAACCACCUAUACCCGCCCCCAUCCGUGACCAGCAGCCCAGCAACCGAACGACCCCUGCUCUUCUCCAACCAAACCAGACAUCUAAAACACCAUAGCCGUCCACCCUCUUCCAAGGCACAGCAAACAGCCGCGGUGCACAAACAAAGAAAAAAACGACUUCAGCUGCAUUACCUCCCUCCUCGCCCUGGCUGUUGUUCCUCCGUCUUCGCCGCCGAUCGAAGUUACUCACCGGCGAUGGCAAGCGACAAUGAAGACCAUCGUUUAAUCAUUUUCCUUCCACAUUUCUCGCUUUGUUCUUUCUUUUACGGGUAAACAGAUCUGAAAAUCGAGAAAGGAAAGCUUCUAAAAUCUGGAUUUCUAAGAGGUUUUGUUUUAGGUCGAAUUUGCCAUUUGUUGCUAAAGUUGUUUCUGCCCAGUCGAGUUUCAUAUCACUUGUCACCCGCUACAUCCUGCUUUUUUCUCGUUUUUAAAGUUUGAGUUCUUGUUGCCGAUGGAGGUCGCCAAUCGAUUUUCCGGUCCAGGUCUUGUUCCAAAGUUUCUGUCAAGUACUUGUAUGCCAUCUCGAGUAUUCAUGCUUCCAAUCUUUCGAACGGUUGCAAUCAGAUUCUGUUUUUGAGGAAGGAGGAGGAGGACGAAGAAGAAGUGGUGAUGGUUGAAGGAGAAUUUAAGCUAUUAGAGGAUGAAAAUGAAGUAGAGAAGUCAUGAUAAUGGGCUGGAGUUUCAAGGUUGAUUUGUUCUUCAAGAUCUUUCAUUAUAGUAACUAGAGAUAGUGAUUGUAGUAGUAGUAAGAAAAAGAUUGUAGGAAGGACAGUACAUUAAAAUAGAAAUGCUAGGUUUUUUUGCUU